CGGAGGAAAAGAAACUAACCAGGAUUCCCUUAGUAGCGGCGAGCGAAGUGGGAUCAGCCCAGGAUGAAAAUCUCUUCGGAGAGUUGUAGUCUGGACAAUGUUGAGGGGUCAACUAGAGUAAGUCACAUGGAAUUGUGCACCACGGAGGGUGAGAGUCCCGUCCUGCUCUAGUAAGGGCUUUCUCGUACGACAUUGUUUCAACCGAGUCGGGUAGCUUGGGAAUGCUGCUCUAAGUGGUGGUAAACUUCAUCAAAGGCUAAAUACUGGUGGGAGACCGAUAGCGAACAAGUACCGUGAGGGAAAGAUGGAAAGCACUUUGAAAAGAGGGUGAAAAGCACCUGAAACCGUCAUGGGGGAAGCGGAUUGCGCGAGUGUUGGCUUGUUGGCUGUUCAGCCUUGCUUCGGCAGGGUGUAUUCAGCUCUGGCUGUGUGGAUGUGGCCGUGAGGAUAGUGGAUGAUGCACUAUUUCAUGGUGAGGGAUCCCUUUUUGGUGAGGACAUUCACGAAAUGACGCAAUUCGACCCGUCUUGAAACACGGACCAAGGAGUCUAGCACGACUGCAAGUCAAAGGGUGACUCAAAGCCCAAGGGCGCAGUGAAAGCAAAACACGUUUGAAUAAAACGAAAGAUGGAUAAAACUGAUCGAGGAGGCAUGGCGUCGUUGACAAAAUGUUCUACCUAGAGCAGUUGUGCUGGGACCCGAAAGAUGGUGAACUAUGCUUGGAUAGGGCAAAGCCAGGGGAAACUCUGGUGGAGGCUCGUAGCGAUGCUGACGUGCAAAUCGCUCGUCGAAUUUGAGUAUAGGGGCGAAAGACUAAUCGAACCAUCUAGUAGCUGGUUCCCUCCGAAGUUUCUCUCAGGAUAGCAGACCAACUUGUGGGUGAGUUGUUUUGUGCGGUAAAGCGAAUGAUUAGCGCACUUGGGGGUGCAAUGCCUUCUGGCGAUUCUCAAACUUUAAAUGCGCAAGAAAGAGAUGGUUGCUUGGACAAUGAACCUCUCAAUCUGGAAAACGUUGGUCUUGUGGGCCACUUUUGGUAAGCAGAACUGGCGAUACGGGAUGAACCGUAAGCGUGGUUAAGGCGUCCAAUUGCCCGCUUAUAGAUCCCACAAAAGGUGUUGAUUCAUCCAGACAGCAGGACGGUGGCCAUGGAAGUCGGAAUCCGCUAAGGAGUGUGUAACAACUCACCUGCCGAAUGAAUUAGCCCUGAAAAUGGAUGACGCUAAAGCGGACAGCCGACACCACGCCGUUUGGGUAAGACACGGCCUAAAUGAGUAGGAGGGCGUGGCGGUCUUGUAAAGAAGGUGAGAGCGCAAGCUCCACUGAAACGGCCGCUAGUGCAGAUCUUGGUGGUAGUAGCAAAUAUUCAAGCGGGAUCCUUGAAGGGCGAAGCGGGGAAGGGUUCCACGCAAACACUGAUUGGGCGUGGGUGAGUCGUACCUAAGCCAGCUGGUAAUGGUUGAUCAAAACUGGCGAAAGGGAAGCGGGUUAAAAUUCUCGCACACGGAUGUGGAGGCGGUGACGCAAACCGAGUCGAAGACGUCGGUGAUAGCGCUGGGCAGAGUUUUCUUUUCUGUUUGACCUGCGAGACGCAUAGUGUGGAAUCCGAUUAUCGGGAGAAACACAUGCCGAGGGGCAGAGCGCCGGGAUUCUCCGGCGUCCAGCACGCUAUUGACGACCCUUGAAAAUUCGAUCUCGACAAUGUGCUUUUUCUCUACUUCAUUUUCUCUUUCUGCAGCAUUUCUCUUCGGAGUGUGUUGUAGGUGGGGGUGGGGUUGUAGGGGAGUGCGAUAAUUUCACGCCGUGGCGUACCGAUAACCGCAUCAGGUCCCCAAGGUGAACAGCCUCUGCUCAAUAUGAACAAUGCAGGUAAGGGAAGUCGGCAAAAUAGACCCGUAACUUUGGGAAAAGGGUUGGCUCUAGUGAGGCGGAGGAUAGAGGAGGGAGGCAGAGCUUGCUUUGUUUUUUCCUUUUCUUCCAAAUGGACUGUGGGGGUUUGGAUAGAGUGCGGACCUUGUGGCUAGCAAGGGCGAAAGCCCAUGUUUGGCUGCUCGGACUGUGCACUAUUCUGGGCGUUCACAGUCCGCCUCCAGCAUGUCUCAGACUAGAACUGCAACGGGCAAGGGGAAUCCGACUGUUUAAUAAAACAAAGCAUUGCGAUGGCCGGGACGGUGUAAACCCAU
rnacentral:rRNA from 2 species